rnacentral:lncRNA from 1 species
UUUUUAUCAAUUAAUUUAGUAAAACUUCAUAAUACCUCCUAAAUUGAUGGAAUAACCACUAUAAAAUUAUUAUUUUCUUGAUAAAUGGAGACGACAAAGGCUCCAAACCUCUUUUAACAUCGUCAUAUGUUAGUGCAGGAUGCAACUAGGCAUUAAAACAAUAUUGUCAUAUGUUUUGAAAUUUUCUCAAAUUCUAUUGGCUAACCCCUACAAAAAUAUUGAGUUUUUGGUAAAUACUUUAUAUACUGAAGCUUAUAAUCUUAAGUGUUGUUUUAAAAUCUCUACCAUAUUCUACAUUUGUAUUAAUGUAUGCUAAACUCUUUUUCAUAGUAAAUGAGUAUCGUUCAAUUGUUUUUACCAAUUAAUUUAGUAAAACUUCAUAAUACCCCCUAAAUCGAUGGAAUAAUCAAUAUAAAAUUAUUAUUUUCUUGAUACACGGAGAGCACAAAAUCUCCAAAUCUCUUUGAACAUCAUAAUAUGUUAGUGUAGGAUGCAACUAGGCAUUAAAACAAUAUUGUCAUAUUUUUUGAAAUUAUCUCAAAAUCUAUGGGCAAACCCCUACAAAAAUAUUGAGUUUUUGGUAAAUACUUUAUAUACUGAAGCCUAUAAUCUUUAAUGUUAUUUUAAAAUUUCUACCAUAUUCUACAUUUUUAUUAAUGUAUGCUACUAUAAUCUUUAAUGUUAUUUUAAAAUUUCUACCAUAUUCUACAUUUUUAUUAAUGUAUGCUCAAUUCCUUUUCAUGGUAAAUGAGCAUCGUUCAAUUGUUUUUAUCAAUUUAUUUAGUAAAACUUCAUAAUACCCCUUAAAUCGAUGGAAUAACCAAUAUAAAAUUAUUAUUUUCUUGAUAAACGGAGAGCACAAAGGCUCCAAACCUCUUUGAACAUCAUCAUAUGUUAGUACAGGAUGCAACUAGGCAUUAAAACAAUAUUGUCAUAUUUUUUGAAAUUUUCUCAAAAUCUAUGGGCUAAUACUCCUACAAAAAUAUUGAGUUUUUGUUAAAUACUUUGUAUACUGAAGCCUAUAAUCUUUAGUGUUGUUUUAAAAUUUCUACCAUAUUCUACAUUUGUAUUAAUGUAUGCUUAACUCGUUUUCAUGGUAAAUGAGCAUUUUUCAAUUGUUUUUAUCAAAUAAUUUAAUAAAACUUCAUAAUACUCCCUAAAUCAAUGGAAUAACCACUAUAAAAUUAUUAUUUUCUUGAUAAACGGAGACGACAAAGGCUCCAAACCUCUUUUAACAUCAUCAUAUGUUAGUGCAGGAUGCAACUAGGCAUUAAAACAAUAUUGUCAUAUUUUUUGAAAUUUUCUCAAAAUCUAUGGGCUUAACCCCGACAAAAAUAUUGAGUUUUUGGUAAAUACUUUAUAUACUGAAGCCUAUAAUCUUAAGUGUUGUUUU